rnacentral:lncRNA from 1 species
CUGGACCCAUCAAGAAAGGACAUUCUUCCAUCGUGUGGUCUGUGGCAUUACAUCCAUUGUAAGUGGUUGUUGCAAUUUAGUUUACUUGGGUGUGUCCCUUGAGUUCUAGGGCCUCUAUCCUACGGAUUAAAGAUGCAAAUUUAGCCUCUUCAGCUAGGAAAGGUUGAACUUAAUAUACACCCCUCUUGAAGGUGUGAGUCUAUCAGAUUCUCUAGUUAUCUCCCAUUGUA